UUACGGCCAUAUCACGUCGAAACACACGUUCUCGUACGAUCACCGAAGUUAAGCAAUAUCAACCCUGGUCAGUACCUAGAUGGGUGUGCGCCUGGGAAAACCAAAUACUGUAAG